rnacentral:rRNA from 1 species
GGUUAAGCGACUAAGCGUACACGGUGGAUGCCCUGGCAGUCAGAGGCGAUGAAGGACGUGCUAAUCUGCGAUAAGCGCCGGUAAGGUGAUAUGAACCGUUAUAACCGGCGAUUUCCGAAUGGGGAAACCCAGUGUGAUUCGUCACACUAUCAUUAACUGAAUCCAUAGGUUAAUGAGGCGAACCGGGGGAACUGAAACAUCUAAGUACCCCGAGGAAAAGAAAUCAACCGAGAUUCCCCCAGUAGCGGCGAGCGAACGGGGAGGAGCCCAGAGCCUGAAUCAGCAUGUGUGUUAGUGGAAGCGUCUGGAAAGGCGCGCGAUACAGGGUGACAGCCCCGUACACAAAAGCGCAUGUGCUGUGAGCUCGAUGAGUAGGGCGGGACACGUGGUAUCCUGUCUGAAUAUGGGGGGACCAUCCUCCAAGGCUAAAUACUCCUGACUGACCGAUAGUGAACCAGUACCGUGAGGGAAAGGCGAAAAGAACCCCGGCGAGGGGAGUGAAAAAGAACCUGAAACCGUGUACGUACAAGCAGUGGGAGCACAGGUUUACCUGUGUGACUGCGUACCUUUUGUAUAAUGGGUCAGCGACUUAUAUUCUGUAGCAAGGUUAACCGUAUAGGGGAGCCGUAGGGAAACCGAGUCUUAACCGGGCGUUAAGUUGCAGGGUAUAGACCCGAAACCCGGUGAUCUAGCCAUGGGCAGGUUGAAGGUUGGGUAACACUAACUGGAGGACCGAACCGACUAAUGUUGAAAAAUUAGCGGAUGACCUGUGGCUGGGGGUGAAAGGCCAAUCAAACCGGGAGAUAGCUGGUUCUCCCCGAAAGCUAUUUAGGUAGCGCCUCGUGAAUUCAUCUCCGGGGGUAGAGCACUGUUUCGGCUAGGGGGCCAUCCCGGCUUACCAACCCGAUGCAAACUGCGAAUACCGGAGAAUGUUAUCACGGGAGACACACGGCGGGUGCUAACGUCCGUCGUGAAGAGGGAAACAACCCAGACCGCCAGCUAAGGUCCCAAAGUCAUGGUUAAGUGGGAAACGAUGUGGGAAGGCCCAGACAGCCAGGAUGUUGGCUUAGAAGCAGCCAUCAUUUAAAGAAAGCGUAAUAGCUCACUGGUCGAGUCGGCCUGCGCGGAAGAUGUAACGGGGCUAAACCAUGCACCGAAGCUGCGGCAGCGACGCUGAUGCGUUGUUGGGUAGGGGAGCGUUCUGUAAGCCUGUGAAGGUGGCCUGUGAGGGUUGCUGGAGGUAUCAGAAGUGCGAAUGCUGACAUAAGUAACGAUAAAGCGGGUGAAAAGCCCGCUCGCCGGAAGACCAAGGGUUCCUGUCCAACGUUAAUCGGGGCAGGGUGAGUCGACCCCUAAGGCGAGGCCGAAAGGCGUAGUCGAUGGGAAACGGGUUAAUAUUCCCGUACUUGGUGUUACUGCGAAGGGGGGACGGAGAAGGCUAUGUUGGCCGGGCGACGGUUGUCCCGGUUUAAGCGUGUAGGUGUGUGUUCCAGGUAAAUCCGGUUCACUUUAACACUGAGGCGUGAUGACGAGGCACUACGGUGCUGAAGCAACAAAUGCCCUGCUUCCAGGAAAAGCCUCUAAGCAUCAGGUAACAUCAAAUCGUACCCCAAACCGACACAGGUGGUCAGGUAGAGAAUACCAAGGCGCUUGAGAGAACUCGGGUGAAGGAACUAGGCAAAAUGGUGCCGUAACUUCGGGAGAAGGCACGCUGACACGUAGGUGAAGUGAUUUACUCAUGGAGCUGAAGUCAGUCGAAGAUACCAGCUGGCUGCAACUGUUUAUUAAAAACACAGCACUGUGCAAACACGAAAGUGGACGUAUACGGUGUGACGCCUGCCCGGUGCCGGAAGGUUAAUUGAUGGGGUCAGCGCAAGCGAAGCUCCUGAUCGAAGCCCCGGUAAACGGCGGCCGUAACUAUAACGGUCCUAAGGUAGCGAAAUUCCUUGUCGGGUAAGUUCCGACCUGCACGAAUGGCGUAAUGAUGGCCAGGCUGUCUCCACCCGAGACUCAGUGAAAUUGAACUCGCUGUGAAGAUGCAGUGUACCCGCGGCAAGACGGAAAGACCCCGUGAACCUUUACUAUAGCUUGACACUGAACAUUGAGCCUUGAUGUGUAGGAUAGGUGGGAGGCUUUGAAGCGUGGACGCCAGUCUGCAUGGAGCCGGCCUUGAAAUACCACCCUUUAAUGUUUGAUGUUCUAACGUGGACCCGUGAUCCGGGUUGCGGACAGUGUCUGGUGGGUAGUUUGACUGGGGCGGUCUCCUCCUAAAGAGUAACGGAGGAGCACGAAGGUUGGCUAAUCCUGGUCGGACAUCAGGAGGUUAGUGCAAUGGCAUAAGCCAGCUUGACUGCGAGCGUGACGGCGCGAGCAGGUGCGAAAGCAGGUCAUAGUGAUCCGGUGGUUCUGAAUGGAAGGGCCAUCGCUCAACGGAUAAAAGGUACUCCGGGGAUAACAGGCUGAUACCGCCCAAGAGUUCAUAUCGACGGCGGUGUUUGGCACCUCGAUGUCGGCUCAUCACAUCCUGGGGCUGAAGUAGGUCCCAAGGGUAUGGCUGUUCGCCAUUUAAAGUGGUACGCGAGCUGGGUUUAGAACGUCGUGAGACAGUUCGGUCCCUAUCUGCCGUGGGCGCUGGAGAACUGAGGGGGGCUGCUCCUAGUACGAGAGGACCGGAGUGGACGCAUCACUGGUGUUCGGGUUGUCAUGCCAAUGGCACUGCCCGGUAGCUAAAUGCGGAAGAGAUAAGUGCUGAAAGCAUCUAAGCACGAAACUUGCCCCGAGAUGAGUUCUCCCUGAGACUUAGAGUCUCCUGAAGGAACGUUGAAGACGACGACGUUGAUAGGCCGGGUGUGUAAGCGCAGCGAUGCGUUGAGCUAACCGGUACUAAUGAACCGUGAGGCUUAACCUU